AUGCAGAUGCUGCUGUUGAAGGUGUCCGCCCAUAUCACUGAGCAACUGGGCAUGGCCCCUGGUGGGGAGUUCAGGAAGGCCUUCAAGGAGGCCAGCAAGGUACCAUUCUGCAAGUUCCAUCUGGGUGACCGACCCAUCCUAGUCACCUUUAAAAGAGCCAUUGCUGCACUCUCCUUCUGGCAGAAGUUCAAGCUGGCCUGAUGUCUGUGCUUCCUGUCUGACCCAAUCAGCAAGGAUGAUGUGGAGCGCUGCAAGUAGAAGGACCAGUUAGAGCAGAUGAUGGCAGAGAUGAUUGGCGAGUUUCCCGACCUGCAUGGCACCAUUGUCUCAGAGCGGGAAGUCUAUCUGAGCUACAUGCUGCGGCAGGGUGCCCGAUGUCUUGAACUGCCCUGCAGCUCUGAUGCAGAGCCCAGGAAGUGUGUCCCAUCUGUGGUAGUGGUUGUUGUUGGCAUGGGUCAUGUGCCUGGCAUUGAGAAGAACUGGAGCACCGACCUCAACAUCCAGGAGAUCAUGACAGUCCCCUCACUGCCCAUCUCUGGCAGAGGGUCUCGGAUGGCCACAAAGGCUGACUUCUUUGGCCUGCUGGGCUACAGCCUGUACUGGAUGGGCCGUGGAACUCUGAGCCUAGUCCUAUCUCUCUACCUGCUGCACAGUUCUGCCCCCAGAGGGUGAGCGAAGCCGGGCCAGGCCGAUAG